rnacentral:rRNA from 1 species
UACGUAGGGUCCGAGCGUUGUCCGGAAUUACUGGGCGUAAAGAGCUCGUAGGUGGUUUGUCGCGUUGUUCGUGAAAACUCACAGCUCAACUGUGGGCGUGCGGGCGAUACGGGCAGACUAGAGUACUGCAGGGGAGACUGGAAUUCCCGGUGUAGCGGUGGAAUGCGUAGAGAUCGGGAAGAAUACCUGUGGCGAAGGCGGCCAGCUGGGCCAGAUCCGACACUGAGGCGCGAAAGCGUGGGGAGCAAACAGG